rnacentral:ncRNA from 18 species
ACUGCAUAGGAGCUGUCAGGUGUCGCAAGACUCAAUAGAAAAGCCGGUAUAAGCCGGCGCGGUCCCGCCGCUGUAAGGAGGAGCACUGCUGCAGAAACGCCACUGUAUAUCUGUAUGGGAAGGCGCAGCAGGGUCAUGAAUCCGAGCCAGAAGAACUGCCUGACAAAGAAUCACCGGC